GUGCUUGCUUUGGCAGCACAUAGACUAAAAUUGGAAUGAUACAGAGAGGAUCAGGCUGGCCCCUGCACAAGGAUGACACUCAAAAUUGAUUUCCAACAUGCCU
ensembl:snRNA U6 U6 spliceosomal RNA